GGAGGAAGGUUAAAAGUUGGGAUUACUAACACUACAGGAUGGGCCCGCGGCGCAUUAGCUAGUUGGUAAGGUAAUGGCUUACCAAGGCGACGAUGCGUAGCCGACCUGAGAGGGUGAUCGGCCACACUGGGACUGAGACACGGCCCAGACUCCUACGGGAGGCAGCAGUAGGGAAUCUUCCGCAAUGGACGAAAGUCUGACGGAGCAACGCCGCGUGAGUGAUGAAGGUUUUCGGAUCG
rnacentral:rRNA from 1 species